GGGUGAGGGAAGAAUUUUACAGUCAUGCUCUGGGACUAGUAUGUGGAGAGAUUGGUGUCAAAGAAGAAGCCUGGGUAAAGUUGGCCCUGGAAUCCUCUCCUGCGUAGCAAAGUCUGGACCCAAGGGCCAAGUCAUACCACCAUGGGAUUGGAUGGACCGUCUGCAGGAGGUGCAAGAGAGAGGGGCUGCUAGGCUGUGCCCAGGUAUGAGGUAGCAUGCCAGUGAUGAGUCCACCCUUCUAUACAUGAGAACUUGCAAGUGAAACUGAGUAAAGUCUGAACAGAAACAAAAUCAACUAGAGAACAGCAAAACAAGAAAAUGCAAAAGUAAAGCUUGAGGAGAGAGCCCAGUAUGUGUCUCUCCUGAGAGUCUAGUCUAAACUGAAAAGAAAAUGGCAGCCUGUCACCGUUACACAGGAUGAACUUGCCUCUGACAGCCUUUCUGGGGGGCACCCCUUUUAGUCAUAGGCUUGAGGCCUGCACUUUUUUGCAAGGGGGAGUCUGUGCUCGCUACUCUGAGACUGGACCUCUGGCUUCAGCACUCCUGUUUGUUUCUCACCAUGGCUCCUUCAGUGAGUAUAAAAGAGCUUGAAUCCCUCUUGGAGACUUUACCUCUUUAGAAACAAUGCAAUCAGCCGAUGUUUGCUGUGAUAGAGAACAGUCUUUGUAAAGUCAACAGCAUUUAUUUUAGUCAACUGGAAUACAGUAUGUAGGUUUCUCUGCUUAGAAUGGAAAAAGAAAGCUUACAUGUCUGUACAUACUGGCAAACCAACCUGCCUCUUUUUCCCCAAAAUGUCUAGGAUUGAAAAGUCUGCUCACGCUUCAGUUCUUUAUUUCAAGUAGCAGUCGCUCUGGUUUCACACAUUCCGUCUCUCUUGGCUGGCAGUCAUUAGUGACCAGUCCUUAGUCUUCCAUUGUCUCUUCAAGGUACCUCCAUGUACAUGUUCUUGAUAGGCAUGUCUGAGUUGGUAUGAACUAUCUGACCAAAACCCCUCUUAUUUUCCCGUCCCAGGAAAUACAUUAAACCCCUCAAUCAGGAGCAACAGAAGCUCCCUGAAAGUGGGGGGCCAGUGGUGGCCGAACCAUGUCCCUGUCCCCCCACGCCACCCCUUCUCCCUGAGGCCCUGCUCUCACACCAGCUCCCCUCUCCCACUCCUCUCCGCCUCCAUUCGCCCUUACGGCCGGUAAAAAGUGAUGGGGCCAUGCCCCUCUAGCCCCUGUUCCAGCACCCCUUCCUUCAAUCCCAGUAGGUAACAAUACAAAAGUUAGUGGGUGAAACUGAGUCAUGCCUAUUUUUCAUAAAAAUAAUACAGAUUUUCCCCAUGUUCUUCAGAUGGAAGGUCUGAUGCAGAGACAGGCUAUCUGAGGAUCUCAAAGCACUUUACAAACUAAUCUUUCACAUUUCUAAAGUGUUCCGAGUGUCACACAUUGAGGUGUUGCCAGAAUCAGGAUCCAGAACCCCUAAUUCCAGUCCUUGUCACUAGACAAUUUGCCUUUUUAAAACAAAAUGUUGUCAUUCAUGUAAAAAUGCAGGGAAGAUUUUAAUUAUGUGCUCUAAGGUAAAAUAUUGAAUGUCUCAGUAUAUCUCUGAAUAUCUAGUGUUGCACUAAAGAUCAGAAUGUUGCUAAGGGAGACAAGAUCAGAUAUUCAAGAUAGCAGUGUGCAAAAUUCUCAAACCACCACCCCCUAAAUCUUCCUAGUAAAAAUCUCAUUGACUUCAAUGCAAGCAGGAUUUGAUUUCACAAGAAAAUUAGUAUUUUGGAAUCUUCAAUAAUCUGAAUAAAUAGAAAAUCCCAUGUCACUAAAAUAAUAAGUGUCCUUAAUCUAAUUAUAGUUAAAAUUAGGUUCAGGCAAAGUCCUCACAAUAGAAAUACAAAGAGCUAAUGCUUCCACAAAGUACUAUGGAAAAUGAAUGUAAAGCUGCCAAAUUCUGCCUUCAGAUACACAAACAUUACUCUGAUUUUUGAGAGUAGGUUUCAGGCCUUAUUGUGUGCAACACAUUGUGCAACUGGAAUGAAUGGAAAACAUUGAAAAGGUAAAUUACAUGGAGCUCAAGAUGUUUACUAUCAAGAUGGAAAUGUUGGGCAAGCAAAAAAUGACCAAUUACCUUGGGAGGGUGGGGGUUGAGCGGGGAGUUAACACAAAGACACAGUAAAAUAUAUGAACAACAGGAACCGGAUCAAAGCACAAAGUUAGAGACGUGUGCGUGUGUGUGUGUGUGUGUGUGUGUGUUUAUAUUUAAAAAAAAAAAAAAGCAUUGAGGUAGGAGGGGGCA